AAUGCCUACGGGGGGCAGCAGUGAGGAAUAUUGGUCAAUGGGCGCAAGCCUGAACCAGCCAAGUCGCGUGAGGGAUGACGGUCCUAUGGAUUGUAAACCUCUUUUGUCGGGGAGCAAGGCCCGCCACGUGUGGCGGGAAGGAGAGUACCCGAAGAAAAAGCAUCGGCUAACUCCGUGCCAGCAGCCGCGGUAAUACGGGGGAUGCGAGCGUUAUCCGGAUUUAUUGGGUUUUAAGGGUGCGUAGGGGGAAGGGUAAG
rnacentral:rRNA from 1 species